rnacentral:rRNA from 1 species
AUUGAACGCUGGCGGCAUGCUUUACACAUGCGAGUCGAACGGCAGCGCGGGCUUCGGCCUGGCGGCGAGUGGCGAACGGGUGAGUAAUGCAUCGGAACGUGCCCAGUAGUGGGGGAUAGCCCGGCGAAAGCCGGAUUAAUACCGCAUACGACCUGAGGGUGAAAGCGGGGGACCGAAAGGCCUCGCGCUAUUGGAGCGGCCGAUGUCGGAUUAGCUAGUUGGUGGGGUAAAGGCUUACCAAGGCGACGAUCCGUAGCUGGUCUGAGAGGACGACCAGCCACACUGGGACUGAGACACGGCCCAGACUCCUACGGGAGGCAGCAGCGGGGAAUUUUGGACAAUGGGGGCAACCCUGAUCCAGCCAUGCCGCGUGCGGGAAGAAGGCCUUCGGGUUGUAAACCGCUUUUGUUCGGGAAGAAAUCCUCUGGGCUAAUACCCCGGGGGGAUGACGGUACCGGAAGAAUAAGCACCGGCUAACUACGUG